rnacentral:tRNA from 2 species
CGGAAUGUGGCGCAGCCCGGUAGCGCACUUGCAUGGGGUGCAAGGGGUCGGAGGUUCGAAUCCUCUCAUUCCGA